AUGGCCACCCCCAGCUCUCAUUUCCAAUCCCAGCCGCAGCACUUGCUGCUGGUGCUGCCAGUGCCAGUAAUCCUAGUUCUCAUCUUUGCCAUGGCUGCUGAAGCUCAAGGGGGUUGCCGACACAAGUGCGGUGACAUCGACAUCCCCUUCCCAUUUGGCAUCGGCGUCGGCCCCGGCUGCUUCCGUGAUGGCUUCGAGGUCUUGUGCAACGAAUCUUCCGUUCCUCCCCGUGCCUUCCUUGCUGGAGGCAAGUACGUCAGGCAGCAGCACAGCUCGCCAUCCGGUGACAUUGAGUCGUCCUGGCUGGUGGAGCUGGCGAGCUUAUCAGUCGCUACAGGCGAGGCACGAGUGUUUGCCCCGGUCUCCUACCACUGCAACACACAAGACAACGGGGUCGUCUCCAUGGCACCGUAUAUGGAACUCCUGGGCACGCGAUUUGCUGCCUCGACGACGCGAAAUGUUCUCAUGGGCCUUGGCUGGAGCGCCGACACUCGACUGUCUUUCAUGUCUACUCCUGAGAUGUUGUUUGCUUGCCUUGCUUUUGAUAUCGAAUUAGACAGGGGGGACGGGUCUUGCUCGGGGUCCUGCUGCCAAGCUACCCUUGCGCGCUACGGCAAGAGCCUCAGAUGGACUGUCAAGUUUCUUAGUGACAAUACAAUUAACAUGCCGCGCCUCCCGUGCUCCUAUGGCAUGGUGGUGGAGAAGUCAUGGUACACAUACUCUAUGGCGGAUCUAGAGGGCUACAAGGUGCUACUCAAUAGGUUUCCCCAGGGCGUCCGCAUGGUGCUCAAUUUCACUGCUGGGGACGGUUUGUGUCCGGCAAAAGGACAGCCGCCGCCUCAGGACUACGCCUGCCUCAGCAGCAACAGCUUUUGUGCCAAUGCAACAUACGGAUAUACCCCUGGCUACAUCUGCAAGUGCCUGGACGGUUACGCGGGCAACCCUUAUAUCCCUAACGGAUGCCCAGACAUUGAUGAGUGCAGCCUCCUCCAAAAUCCAUGCUCAAAUGGCGGGGUCUGCACAAACAAGUUGGGAGGCUAUGACUGUCCAUGCAAAUUCGGAAUGAAGGACGAUGGCAGAGGGGGAACCUGCACAGAUAUAUUCCCUCUAGCAGCAAAGGCGGCUGUGGGUGCAAUAGGUGGUGUACUUCUCGUGGUGAUUAUAUCGUUUCUUGUUAUUCUUCGCAAAGAGAAAAAGAAAGUGAAUGAAUUAUACAAAAGGAACGGCGGCCCAACAUUGGAGAAGGCAAAUGUGAUUAAGCUUUUCAAAAAGGAUGAGCUCAAGCCAAUUUUGAAGAAUAGCAAUUUAAUUGGAAAAGGUUGCUUUGGUGAAGUUUACAAGGGCCUUCUCGAGAAUAAACUAGUUGCCGUAAAGAAGCCGAUUAAUGGUUCUGUGCUAGAGAGUGACCAAUUUGCAAAUGAAGUCAUCAUCCAAUCUCAAGUCAUCCACAAGAAUAUUGUUAGGCUCAUUGGUUGUUGCCUUGAAGUUGAUGCCCCCAUGUUGGUCUACGAGUUUAUCUCCCAAGGUAGUCUCCAUGACAUUCUUCACAAUAACAAUAACAAGGUGGCUCUCAACUUGGAUGCACGUUUAAGUAUUGCUGCACAUUCAGCGGAUGGUCUAGCUUAUAUGCACUCAAAAACAAAUAUUAGAAUUCUACAUGGUGAUGUCAAACCAGCAAAUAUACUCUUGGAUGAUAACUUCAUACCCAAGAUUUCAGACUUCGGCAUAUCUAGGCUGAUUGCAAGAGAGAAGGAACACACUGCAUCAAUCAUUGGUGACAUGAAUUAUAUGGAUCCGGUGUAUCUACAAGAAGGCCUACUCACCGAAAAAAGCGAUGUUUACAGUUUUGGGGUUGUGAUUCUAGAGCUUAUUAGCAGGAGGAGGGCAAUGCAUUCUGACAAUAAUAAGUUGGUAAAGAAUUUUCUUGAAGCUCAUAAGAAACAAAACAAAGCUACUGAGUUUUUUGACAAGGAAAUUGCGAUAACAGAAGAUUUGGAGCUUCUUGACAGUCUAGCAGGUAUGGCCGUGGAAUGCCUUAGCCUUGACGUGGAUCAAAGACCAACGAUGAUGGAGGUAGCUGAGCAGCUACUCAUAUUGGGCCGAUCUCGUAAGGUGUAA
rnacentral:rRNA from 1 species